rnacentral:rRNA from 1 species
CCUACGGGUGGCAGCAGUGGGGAAUAUUGGACAAUGGGCGGAACCCUGAUCCAGCGACGCCGCGUGAGUGAAGAAGUCUUUCGGGAUGUAAAGCUCUAUUAUCAGGGACGAAAGAAAUGACGGUACCUGCCUAAGAAGCCCCGGCUAACUACGUGCCAGCAGCCGCGGUAAUACGUAGGUGGCAAGCGUUAUCCGGAUUUACUGGGUGUAAAGGGCGCGUAGACGGGGAUGCAAGUCUGAUGUGAAAGGCAGGGGCCCAACCCUCGGACUGCAUUGGAAACUGUAUGGCUGGAGUGCAGGAGAGGUAAGUGGAAUUCCGGGUGUAGCGGUGAAAUGCGUAGAUAUAAGGAGGAACACCAGUGGCGAAGGCGGCUUACUGGACUGUAACUGACGUUGAGGCGCGAAAGCGUGGGGAGCAAACAGGAUUAGAUACCCUUGUAGUC